UUUUUGGGAUAAAGGCUUAGUUAAAUUGAGUUAAUAAAAUUUUAUUUUAUUUAGAAUUAUAAUCAAAAUAAGAUAUUAAACUAAGAAAGGUAACAUGGUACAACUAUAUAAUUAUAUUUAAUAAAAUUACAAUUCCUACUUUAAUUUUUUUUUAGUUUUAGAAUAUAUAUAUACACACCCUGUAGGGACAAUGAUUUUUGAGAUUUUUAAAAUUUCAAGGAUAUAAUGAUUUUACAUACCCAAACUAAAAUAUCAGACAAAUUGCUGAAACCUCACUUAGAUCAAGCAAAAUUUACACUUGCAUUUUUAUUUUUGAAAAAUAAAUUAAAUACUACUUAUAUAAAUUUUAAAAAAUCAUAUAUUAAUCUCUUUUUAAAAUAAAACACUUUUUAAUCCGUCAUUAUAAGGUUCUCGCAUUUUGAUUUUUCAAGAAGGAAAAAUUAAUUUUAUUGAAAAAAAAAUCAAGGAUUAAAAUGUUAGGGAAUAAAAAACAUGAUAUUUUGAUCAAAAUACUAAAGUGUAAUUGAAUUAAAAAGUUGAGAAUCAUUUUAAUUCAAUUUUGCAAAAAUAAAGACAAGUGAAUUCAACAAUGCCAUAGUUUUAUCUAAUAAAUGCAGACACGAGAGAUUUUGGCAUUGAAAGUUUCCCGUGUUUUCCACUGUCCUCAGCAAUUGCAUUAAUCAAACUAAAUCAUAAAGAGCAGCAGCAUCUAAAAUAGAAACAAGUACAAACCAGACUCAAAAUUAACUGCCGUAGCUAACAAAUUAGCGACAGGAUUCACUGAUUGUUUGAUAAAAACAACAUACCAACAAUUCAUUCCAAUAAGAAGCAUCCACCGCAUGGUACCUCCUCGAAUAGCCUGAACAAGCAACAAGGAAUCGAUCUCCGGGACAACAUGAUGCAAAGAAACUUGUUAGCCAAGAAGACUCGGGGAGAGUUCCACAGCUGCAGUAGCAGCAUUAGGGGAAACAGUAUGAAUCAAGUGAUUAGCCAAGGUUGUUAAGCCCAUGAAAGAAACGAUGUUUUCUUCGCCUGGAAUGCUUUCCAAAACCCUUUGACAUGAUAUAGGGGGCAAAAUUAACCUGAGAAUUAGUGCAGAUGCCAAAACCAUGAAGUGCAGAGUUGUCAUCAAGGAGCUUUUGAUUGUGGUAGGAUAUGGCAAAAUUUGCCCAAACAUGCUUCCACGAAAUAUGGCGAUGACCCAUCUUGGAUUGCUCCAUUUCAAUCACUUUCCUCUUGAUCGCAAGCUUCAAAUCUUUGACUGUUGCCGAAUUCAUCACUGCCACAUCAAAGGAGGUGCCAUCUAGUUUGAGGACGGAGAUGCGCAUAGCACUGCCCAAUUCAACGCUAAUGAGAGUAUCAACAUCGGAUAAGGUCGGUUUCUUAGGGAGAUCAGUGAGAAUAGGAUCAUCAAGAAGAGCUGCGAGUGUUGACUGCAGUUUUGCCUUCUUUACAUUGCUGCUGUUGUAGCCAAUAUCCUCAUCUCCCUUGGAAAUUGAUUCUAUCUCCAUCAUUCUUUCUGACAAAACCAAUAUAGAGUAGUUCUCAAGUGUGACGACAACACUAGCAUCCACAGAAUUUAUUGGCUGACUAAACUUUAGUUGCAAAACUUGAUGAAAUCAAUAGUAUAAAUCCCUGCACGCUGGCGCUGUGCAGGUGAUCGAAGGGAAGGGUAGUCUGGCCGGGGGCUUGAGGUUGAGAUGGGUGAGAGUGGGAUGGUGGAGGUGGCAUGAAGAGAGGCUGAGGUCAACGGAGGUGAAGUUGUCGAGAGAGGGAGAUGGUCUGGUUCGUGGUAUCGGGUAUAGCGGUUCGGUGUAGAGCUGGUCAAAGGAGAGGGGAGAUGGGUCUAAUCAGCAAAUAGGGUGAAAGGGGAAUGGGCUGAGGUUAGGUUCUGCG
rnacentral:misc_RNA from 1 species